rnacentral:rRNA from 1 species
AUGCUUGGGAAUCUAGCUUAUGGAGGGGGAUAACUACGGGAAACUGUAGCUAAUACCGCGUAGAAUCGAGAGAUGAAAGUGUGGGACCUUCGGGCCACAUGCCAUAGGAUGAGCCCAAGUGGGAUUAGGUAGUUGGUGAGGUAAAGGCUCACCAAGCCGACGAUCUCUAGCUGGUCUGAGAGGAUGACCAGCCACACUGGGACUGAGACACGGCCCAG